AUGAACGCUGGCGGCGUGCCUAAUACAUGCAAGUCGAGCGAACAGACGAGGAGCUUGCUCCUCUGACGUUAGCGGCGGCCGGGUGAGUAACACGUGGAUAACCUACCUAUAAGACUGGGAUAACUUCGGGAAACCGGAGCUAAUACCGGAUAAUAUAUUGAACCGCAUGGUUCAAUAGUGAAAGACGGUUUUGCUGUCACUUAUAGAUGGAUCCGCGCCGCAUUAGCUAGUUGGUAAGGUAACGGCUUACCAAGGCAACGAUGCGUAGCCGACCUGAGAGGGUGAUCGGCCACACUGGAACUGAGACACGGUCCAGACUCCUACGGGAGGCAGCAGUAGGGAAUCUUCCGCAAUGGGCGAAAGCCUGACGGAACAACGCCGCGUGAGUGAUGAAGGUCUUCGGAUCGUAAAACUCUGUUAUUAGGGAAGAACAAAUGUGUAAGUAACUAUGCACGUCUUGACGGUACCUAAUCAGAAAGCCACGGCUAACUACGUG
rnacentral:rRNA from 1 species